GACGAACGCUGGCGGCGUGCCUAAUACAUGCGAGUAGAACGCUGAAGGAGGAGCUUGCUUCUCUGGAUGAGUUGCGAACGGGUGAGUAACGCGUAGGUAACCUGCCUGGUAGCGGGGGAUAACUAUUGGAAACGAUAGCUAAUACCGCAUAACAGUAGAUAUCGCAUGAUAUCUACUUGAAAGGUGCAAUUGCAUCACUACCAGAUGGACCUGCGUUGUAUUAGCUAGUUGGUGAGGUAACGGCUCACCAAGGCGACGAUACAUAGCCGACCUGAGAGGGGGAUCGGCCACACUGGGACUGGGACCCGGCCCAGACGCCUACGGGAGGCAGCAGUAGGGAAUCUUCGGCAAAGGACGGAAGUCUGACCGAGCAACGCCGCGUGAGUGAAGAAGGAUCUCGGAUCGUAAAGCUCUGUUGUAAGGGAAGAACGAGGGUGAGAGUGGAAAGUUCACGCUGUGACGGUAUCUUACCAGAAAGGGACGGCUAACUACGUG
rnacentral:rRNA from 1 species